UAAAUGGGUUAUUCUUGCCCAGGGCUGUCCGUCAAACCGUGAGAUGAAUACACGAGAGGCUCCCAAGACUGCAUCAAUCGGCCGAAUUGCGUAAGACCGACGGCAAUGUACAUCUUUGAGAGUAUUGUCGCACAGGGAACAAGCAAAUCCGGAGAAUGGGGUGAAACUCCUCUGAAAUCCGGUCCGCUUCAUUUGACGGGAAGCCCAAACAAACUGAAACACGCUGGCAGUUGUCGCGUUGGCGGUAUAUUACGUUUGA
rnacentral:ribozyme from 1 species